UAGGGAAUCUUCCACAAUGGACGCAAGUCUGAUGGAGCAACGCCGCGUGAGUGAAGAAGGUUCUCGGACCGUAAAGCUCUGUUGUUGGUGAAGAAGGAUAGAGGUAGUAACUGGCCUUUAUUUGACGGUAAUCAACCAGAAAGUCACGGCUAACUACGUGCCAGCAGCCGCGGUAAUACGUAGGUGGCAAGCGUUGUCCGGAUUUAUUGGGCGUAAAGCGAGCGCAGGCGGAAGAAUAAGUCUGAUGUGAAAGCCCUCGGCUUAACCGAGGAAUUGCAUCGGAAACUGUUUUUCUUGAGUGCAGAAGAGGAGAGUAGAACUCCAUGUGUAGCGGUGGAAUGCGUAGAUAUAUGGAAGAAUACCAGUGGCGAAGGCGGCUCUCUGGUCUGCAACUGACGCUGAGGCUCGAAAGCAUGGGUAGCGAACAGGAUUAGAUACCCUGGUAGUCCAUGCCGUAAACGAUGAGUGCUAAGUGUUGGGAGGCUUCCGCCUCUCAGUGCUGCAGCUAACGCAUUAAGCACUCCGCCUGGGGGAGUACGACCGCAAGGUUGAAAC
rnacentral:rRNA from 1 species